rnacentral:lncRNA from 1 species
UAAUACCUCCAGUACCAGAGCCAGAGCCGCACAGCCUGCGGCUUCCCACCCUGGCGUUGCCGCAACACCUCUAACUCCGACGUUAUAACCGGACUCGUUCGCAACCGCCGAUGAGGAUAUCUUUCUGAGGCGCGUAUGGCGACGGGGUGAUGGCCUGGAUGAUGGUGGCGAGAUUGCGAUGGGUCACGUGACCAAGAGCUGAGAAGGAGAGGAGAUAGAGGGAGAAUUGAUGUAGAACAGGAAGGGAUAAGGGUUGGGAAGCAGUAGAGAAGGAAGGGAACGAUAGAGAGGAACUGUAAUUCUCUUAGCAUAUCAUAUUAACCUUCUGUUUACAAUACUAUCUCAUAUAAUCCUCCAGAUCUGUUCGGAAUUGAAAAUUAAUGAAAUUACAGGGACUAAGCUGUAAAUGUAAUAAGCAAAAAUAGCUAGCUGGGCCUAAUUCGGAGAUGGGUUGGGCCUCCCGUCAAGUCGGCUCGUCUCCAAGUCUCCAGAUCCUUCUGGCGGUUGGAUCCUUCCACCCGUAACCGCUCCGCUAACCCGAAUGGCCCGCUCCAUCAGACUUAUUCUCAACUAUUACUAGAUACUCCCCUUUGACCGGUAAGAUCCUGUUGGACCGCCCGUCUUCCGCCCUAAUCCUUCUCCCCUUUCCUUCUUUCCCCUGUCUUCCACCCCGUAGAUCUCGUCGGAACCUCACCGGACGUUACAUCUCCCUCCCCUUCAUUUGACCCUUGUCCUCAAGGGUCAAAGUCUGGAAACUGGGCUCGGAGAUUCCGGUAAUCCUCCCAAGUUGCUUCGGUUUCUUCCAAGUUGCUCCAUUUAACCAAUACCUGUGUGGUCGCGCGGUUCCCUUUCUUCACCAUUUUGCGAUCAAGGAUUUUCUCAGGCUGGGCCAGCAGCUGUCCGUCUUCGCCCACCAGGGGCACAGAUGGCAUAGCUAGGGUUGUGGAAGGGGUACCACGCUUAAGGAGGGAAACAUGAAAUACCGGAUGGAUUUUUGAGCCUUCGGGCAGUUGAAGCCGAUAGGCCACUGGCCCUAUCCGAGCUAUUAUCUUGAAAGGCCCGUAAUAUCUCGAGGUGAGCUUAAUGUUCCUUCUCAGAGCGACGCUACUUUGCCGGUAAGGUUGUAAUUUAAGGUAGACCAUUUCCCCCACCGUAUAUUCCUUGUCCACCCUUCUCUUGUCGGCGUUUUGUUUCAUACGGUUCUGGGCUUCCUUGAGUCUCUCCCUGAGCACCUGCACCAUUUUUUCUCUCUCUCUGUUCCACUCCUCCACGGUAGGCCCACUAUCCAUACCCAAAUUUACCACCGCGUGAGCCGGGGGAGGGUGACCGUAUAGUGCCUGGAAGGGAGUCAUUCCCAGGGCGGAGUGGUAGUUGGUGUUAUACCACCACUCAGCCAAUGCUAGCCACCUAUGCCAUUUAUGUGGGUAUUGGAAGCUCAUGCAGCGCAGGUAGGUUUCAACGCACCUGUUGACCCUUUCGGUUUGCCCAUCCGAUUGCGGGUGGUACGCGGUGCUCAGCUGCAGCUUAACCCCUAGCAAUUUAAAGAGAUCUUGCCAUACUUGGCUGGUGAACACCUUGUCCCGAUCUGAUACUAUUCCCUUCGGUAGUCCAUGUAGUCGGUAGAUCACAUCCAGGAAGGACCUCGCGACCUCUUGAGCUGUAUAAGGGUGAGUCAGUGCGAUGAAAUGAGCAUAUUUGGUGAGUCGAUCUACCACUACUAAGAUGGUAUCCUUGCCCUCAGACCUCGGUAGUGAUUCGAUGAAAUCCAUACUGAUUUCCUGCCACGCUUGCGCAGGUAUUUCUAAUGGUUGUAGUAAGCCUGCAUAGGGGGUCCCGUCUACCUUGUUCUUGAUACAGACUUCACACUCCUUGAUUUUCUUUUCGAUGUCCUUCUUCAUUCCUGGCCAAUAGAAUAGUUGCUUGGCUCUUUUGUAGGUGUGGGUGAUCCCUGAAUGUCCCCCCAGGGCAGAGGCAUGUAAUUGAUCAAUCAGCCUUGAUUUCAGAUCUCCUGAUUUUCCAAUAUAGAUCCUCCCCUUGUAUUUUAGCACUCCUUGGGCAUAUGUGUAAGUUGGUUGAGACUCCGGGCUUAUCAAGAUUUCGGCAAUUACUUGUUGCAGGGAGUGGUCUUCCUUAUAGCUCUCUACUACCUCCUGUACCCAAGUAGGAAUAAUAGCAGUAAUAGCUUGACAGUACCCUUCCUCAUUCCUCUUCCUGGACAACGCGUCUGCUGCCACAUUCUCCUUUCCCUUUCUAUACUGGAUGGUGUAAUCCAUGCCCAUUAAUUUGAUCAUUCCUUUCUGUUGGAUCGCAGUAGUGAUCUUUUGCUCCAAAAGGUAUUUUAGGCUCUCAUGGUCUGUCUUGAUUAUAAAGGGGCGAGUGCUUAUGUAAUGCUUCCAUUUAGUAACGGCCAUCAGCACAGCCAAGAACUCCUUCUCGUAAGUUGACAGGCCCAUGUUCUUUUGACAGAUGGCUUUGCUGAUGUAGGCGAUCGGCCGACCCUCUUGAGUAAGAACUGCUCCUAUCCCAUUUUCACAUGCAUCUACUUCAAUAGUGAAAGGUUGGUCAUAGUUAGGCAUCGCUAAAACUGGGGCAGUGGUCAUGACCUCCUUGAGUCUCUCAAAAGCUUCCCAAGCUUUUUCGCUCCAGGUGAACUUAUCCUUCUUGAGCAUAUCUGUGAGAGGCUUACUAAUUCCCCCGUAACCUUUAAUAAAUCGCCGAUAGUACCCCGUCAAUCCAAGGAAACCUCUCAGUUCCUUCACAUUGGCUGGUAAGGGCCAAUUCCUCAUAGCCUCGAUUUUGCUGGGAUCCGUAGCAACUCCUUCUUCUGUGAUCAGAUGCCCCAAAUACUCCACCUUUCUUUGCCCAAAAAAACACUUGCUUCUUUUUGCAAACAGUUGAUUAUCUUUCAGCACCUUUAGGACUAUUCCCAAGUGCUCAGCAUGCUCACUCAACUCCCUACUAUACACAAGUAUAUCGUCAAAAAAAACUAGCACAAAUUUCCGUAAAUAAGGUUCAAAUACCUCAUUCAUAAUGGCUUGGAAGGUCGCCGGCGCGUUGGUUAGCCCGAAGGGCAUUACCAUGAACUCGUAGUGUCCCCGGUGGGUUUUGAAAGCAGUCUUGUGUAUAUCCUGGAUGUCCAUCCUCACUUGGUGAUAACCGGACCUCAGAUCUAUCUUCGAGAAGAAUUUCGACCCCGCCAAUUCAUCCAACAAAUCAUCGAUUAAGGGUAUAGGGUACUUAUCCUUUAUAGUCGCCUUGUUUAACUGUCUGUAAUCCACACAUAGCCGCCAACUACUAUCCUUCUUCUUUACUAGUAAUACUGGGGCUGCAUACGGACUCGAGCUUGGUUGAAUAAUGGAGGUUCUCAGCAUUUCUGUAAUUUGCCUCUCAAUCUCAUUCUUCUGGUCAUGGCUGUACCGGUAAGGUCUUAAGCUUAUUGGUCCGGAUCCAGGAUGCAAUGGGAUUUUGUGGUCCCUCACUCUCUGUCGGGGUAAGCCCUUAGGCUCUUGAAACACUUCCUCAAACUGGUGCAACACUGCUUGAACCUGUAGGGGUAUUAGACCUUUUUGUUCCUCUGUCUGGUUUUGACAGAACUGCCCAAUAGCACAGCAAUUCCCUUCCAACCCGGCUUUGUACCACUGUUUGGCCGUUAUGGAUUUAAGUUCGGCUGCGGAUGUCUUCAACUGGGUUCCUUCUGAUAUCCCCUUGAGUAUCAUCUGUCUGCCAUCCUUUGUAAAAGACACUGAGUUAUCAAUGUAAUCGAAUGUUACUUGCCCGUAAGCCUUAAGCCAGUCUAUACCCAGGAUUACGCUCGAUCCAUCUAAUCUUAUGAUCCUCAAUUCAGCUUGGUACGGCUCACCUUGCAUUGUCCACUGAAAAUUUGCACACUUAAGCUUACUCAUGACCUUAUGGCCAUUGGCCACAGUCACUGCAAGUGGUGGGGCUGCCACCAUUUCCGCCUUAACCUCCUUAGCAACUUGAUAGUCGAUGAAACUAUGGGUACUUCCUGUAUCUAUCAGAAUGGUUAGGGUCUUACCCAUAACUUCGCCUUGCACCUUGAUGGUAUCAUGGGAAUCCUGUCCACUAAGAGCAUGCACUGAUACUCCAGUCUCUUCUCCUUCUUCAUCAUUAUUGGGCUGUUCAUCUUCUUCCUCGGAGGGUAUCAUCUGCUCGUCAAAUAUUUCGUCUAUUACGGGGCUAGCACAGAUUUGAAGCAGGGUUCUAUUUUGGCAGAUAUGUCCGGAGUGGUAUUUCUCUCCACAUUUGUAACACAAUCCUGCAGCGCGCCUCUGCUCAAACAAUUGUUUACUGAUCCCUUGUGGUUGACUAGAGGAUUUUUGCUGAGCUGCUGGGUUCAUCUUUUGAGUAUUGUUCCCUUGCGGCGCCCCUACCGUUGCUCGAUAAACCCCCUUACUCUUUCUCAUAAUGAUAGCCAGGGCUUGCUCGUUUAAUUUCGCUUGUUCAUAUACUUCUUCCAGGGUUGUUGGUCGAGAGAGAUCUAUGAAUGGCACUAACUCCUCUUUAAGCCCGCUGAUGUAGCUUUCAAUGUAGUAAUUCAACAAUAUAAUGCGGGAAUCGAAUCGGGAAGGCAAUGGCGGGGAUACCUGUGCUCAGAAUUGCGUCUCUGAUACCAAAUUGUUAUAACCGGACUCGUUCGCAACCGCCGAUGAGGAUAUCUUUCUGAGGCGCGUAUGGCGACGGGGUGAUGGCCUGGAUGAUGGUGGCGAGAUUGCGAUGGGUCACGUGACCAAGAGCUGAGAAGGAGAGGAGAUAGAGGGAGAAUUGAUGUAGAACAGGAAGGGAUAAGGGUUGGGAAGCAGUAGAGAAGGAAGGGAACGAUAGAGAGGAACUGUAAUUCUCUUAGCAUAUCAUAUUAACCUUCUGUUUACAAUACUAUCUCAUAUAAUCCUCCAGAUCUGUUCGGAAUUGAAAAUUAAUGAAAUUAC